UGGACCGCGCGGCGGGAUCCGAACGCUCAUGGUAAUUGGCCGCUGGCUGUGUAGGCCGCUACUUUUUCGCGCAUGAGGAAGAGGAAAGAAGUGCCCUUCCGGGCUCUGAAAUGUGAGGAGAUUUAUGGUUCCCCACGUUGGUAAUACAGUUUGGAGGCUGGAGCUCGGUUCUGUUUAUCUUGGUGUCUAAGCCACUUAGAAACCCCAACGCGUGUUACGCAUAGAUGGCUUUAGGUCUGUAGCUUCUGCGGCAGUCGCGCUUCUUUGAGGAGUUAGCUUGGCAUUUUCUUUUUUUCAGAGUGAACAUUCUCCUCCAUGGGAUAAAGCGCGCUUAGUUUUUACACAAUAGUGUGGAAGGUUCUGGUAAUGAGUUUGGGAGAGGACUAGGGUCUGUCCUCAGGAGCCAUAGUAAGAGAGGGAUAUGUCAGUAGAGCAGUCUUUACAGCUUCCAGCUCAUUCGAGCUCUGUCGAAAUUGAUCUUUCGGUAUCAUUCUCUUUCAUAUCUACAAGGAAGAGACUUAAGAGAGCACUAGUAUCCCGUGUUGGAAUCCUUCCUCAGAGCAGGAUUUACGUGUCAGUGUGUUCUACCAGUCCUUUCCCCUUAUUUCUCAAAAUGGCUUCAGGCCCAUUAUACCCGAAGUUUCAGUUUGAAUCUGCCUCUCUGUUCAGAGUCGUAAACUGACCAGACCUCUUUGUAUUACGUAGGUGCGUUCAUUUGCCCUGAAGGCAGUUCUUUCCCAAACGAAAGCUGUUAAAAAAAAAAAAAAAAUUACUCCAGGAAAUUUAAAGGCUUCUUAAUUUGAUAGUCCCUUAACAUAACUGUAACUUAAAAGGUAUGGUGUUGAUACGGAGUUGUAUGUAAGCAAAAUAAUUUUAUUCUCGUUAUGACAUUUUUCAUAUUAGGUGCUAGACAUUUUUAGAUUACAGCGUUAAGCGAAUGGGAAUCAGAAACUAAUUUUGUGGUAUGUUUUGUUUGCGUUAGGAGUUAACGUUGUUAACCUUUUUAACCCUCCAGUUCCAUUAAAGCAUCAUUUGAGUCAAACUGCGUAAACUCUAUAAUAAUGUAACAAAUCGCUCUUAUUUUUAUAAUGUGAACACAUUAUAAUUAAACUUACCUAUACUUGUGUAUGAUCAGAAAGUCAACAAAAAAGUCACCAUUAAUACUAAUUCUGCAACUUUUUCACCUGAAUUUUCUUACUUCUGAACAUUUUUGGAAUAGCGACUGAAACAUAUAUAAUGACAUAAACUGUUAGUGGGUUAUUAUUAGAUUGGUUGAAAGACUCACCUGAAUUAUUUUUUUCGACCAGUGUAUUGAAAUUAAUUUGUGCUGCACAUUGUACUUAGAUAUUAGAGAUUUUUUUUUUUUACUGUGUGAAUUGUAUUUCUGCCUUCUAGGAAGUGAUGAUACAAUCAAGGAACCAAAUGCAAAUGAAUAGUAGUAUCUGAUUAAUACUUUCAGAGAGGAGUAGACAAAAAUGGGCACCGUUAAUUUGUCCACUUGUUCUGUAAACAUUUAUAGAGUUCCUGCUGUGAGUCAGGCACUGUACACAACACCAAAGAGUGGGGUGCCUAACUGCCAAAGGACUGAUAUUUUAAGCAAGGCAUUAAAGAAUGAGUGAAAGUUUGAUCAGUGGAGAAAAGAAGCAGCAUGUGCAAAGGUAUGAGAGUUUUUGGAAUGACAGGAACCCAGGAAUGAAGUCACUGGAGGAUAAUGGUGGUUGGGGGAAAGAGGGUGGAAAUUGAGUAAUCUCUACACCCGAUGUGGACCGAGGUCAAGAGUUGCAUGCUCUUCCGACUGAGACAGCCAGGUGCCCCCCAAAGCCUUUUUUAAAUCAAGCAUUUUAAUAUUUAAUCCUGAUAUGCUUUGUGAGGAAAAGGGAAAUCUGGAAACCCCAGGAGGUACAGUUGGGAACUGAUAUAUAUAUUUAAUUUUAAGUGAUAUGUUUGGAUUUUAAGACUCAAGUCGUUGAAUAUAUACUUAUCCUUUCCAGUUUUCUAAUUAUAAUGAAGCAUGAAGCAGUUGGUUUAGUUCCACAUCAGGAUCCCUUUGGGGGAAUUCUAGGCAACAGAAGUUCGAAUUUUCUGUGUAAUUUUUUAACAUGGAAAAUUUCAAACAUACUCAAAAUUAACAGAAUAAUCUAAUGAACCUCCAAUGAGCAUAUCACUCACCUUUGGUGAUUACCCCCUUAGAGUAAUUAGCAUGGAGCUAUGUAGAAAUUGGGACAUCUCCACCAUUGACUUACCAUGUAACCUGGUUAAGUUCCCUCUUGAGAUUUUUUCUGCUGUAAAAUGGAUCACUAUCUCACUAAGUAUUCUCACCUCUUAGGAUUGUUUGAUGAUUGAGUGACAAAAUGAGUAUAAAACAUAUAGUAUGGAGUUUGGCCUAUUG